GAAUAUCACUGAGAGAAGAUGAUGAAGGAAGGAAAAAAUGUCUUAAGAAAACCUGCAGAAAUAGGUGGAGGCACUGGCUAAAUUCCUCCAGAUCUGAAUUUUGAAGGUCUGCCUAAAGAGUGUAUUGGUUCCAGAAACUUGUGGCCCGGCUCAUCCCACUUCACUCGCAGAGACUGCAAGCCUCUGAUGAUGACUGCAAGAUGCUGUCUCCAGCAGGAGAGAGGGCCCCUUUCCCACGUCAGGCAGCAGGGCACCAAACCUCCUCCAGCAGCACCUGCAGACCUCUUUGCAGCGGGAGGCGCUGGCAGCCUUCUGCAGGGAGCUCCCAGCAGGACCUGUCCUGGCACAGGCACGGAGGCUGUGUUCAGACAUGGUUAGGAGAGGGCAUCUCCUCCAUCACUGGCAACCAGCAGCUCAAUUAUGUUCGACAGCUGAAUCAGGAACUGGCUGGCAAAUACAAUUUAUAAUGCCAUGUGAGAGCCCGAGCCAGGGAGAAUGUCUCCAGGGCUGUGAGUAACAAAUCUGGCAAUUUUGGUUCAAGAACUAGUAGGGCUAAAUUUGAAUCCCAUGAAAACUGUGCUCAGGAUUUCUAACGAAUGGUCCCAGCCUGAGAGUGAGUUUUCUGCUUUGAUGAGCAAUUUCUUCAUGUGUAAUUACUCCACAUCCAAGGCAAUCCAUAUGAGAGACAUACAUGAACACCAGCAGCCCCAGCAUGGAUUACAUGAAUGUAUAGAAAAGGAUGAAAAAGGUGAGUUCACCAACACUGCAAUCAACACGAGCCAAAUUGCUCCAAGUGCUUUUUUUCCUGAACAGUUCAGUUUUUAUUUCUUCUUGUUCCCAUAACUGUGGAUUACGUGUGUGUGUGUGUUUAUUUUCCCUCUGAGGUGGUGCCUUAAAAGCAAAGUAAAAUUAUUUCAAAUAUCAUUUAUUGCCCUUUUGAUGUGGACACAAAGCUUGGGGUUAACACCUGUACUUAUAUAUGUAACCAUGUAUUCCAUGGAUAAAAAUGAGUGUGUAGCUAGAAGUAUAGUUACCGAAAAAGUCAAUUAUAAUUCAAAUUGAUCACAAUUUAAAUAUUUAUUGUACUGCUUGAAUUUUGUGGUUCAAACCUUUGAUGGAUGGGGGGAAAAUAUUCUGCGUUUGGAGAUAGAAAAAUGUAAAUAUAAGGAGAAAAGCUAAGCGUUAGGGUUGGUUGUUUUUGUUUUUGUUUUCAUUUUACAAUCAGCUAUACAAUGUCCUUUCAGCCCUUUAUCUCUGGGAGAGCAUGUUGUGGCAGGCAGCUAAGCACCACACAGCCAUUCACUCACUCUUGCAUAGCGGGAUGGGGGAGAGCACUGGAAAAAGGUAGAAGUGUGAGAACUUGUGAGUUGAGAUAAGGACAGUUUAAUAAGAAAGGGAAGAAAACUAGAAUUAAACAAACAAAACCACAAGAGAUGCACAACAGAAUUACUCACUACCAGCCAACUGAUGCCCAGCCAGUCCCCAAGCGGCAGCAGCCACCCCACCCUGGCCAACUCCCCCCAUUUUAUUGUUCAGCAUGAUGCCACAUGGUGUGGGACAUUGGCCAGCUUGGGUCAGCUGUCCUGAUUCUGUCCCCUCCCAGCUCAUGGUGCACCCCCAGCCUCCUCAUUGGCAUGGCUGCAUGAGAAGCCAAAAGUCCUUGACAUAGUGUAAGCACUGCUAAGUAGCAAUUAAAACAUCGUUGUUGUUGACAUUAUUUUCACCCUAAAUCCCAAACAGCACCAUAUCAGCUACAGUAAAGCAAAUUAACUCUAUCCCAGUUGAAACCAGGACAGAGAAAAAGAAAGACUUUGAAGGAGUAGAUGUUGUUAGGUUUGGGUUG
ensembl:lncRNA